GCUCAACCGGGGAGGGUCAUUGGAAACUGGGGAACUUGAGUGCAGAAGAGGAGAGUGGAAUUCCACGUGCAGCGGUGAAAUGCGUAGAGAUGUGGAGGAACACCAGUGGCGAAGGCGACUCUCUGGUCUGUAACUGACGCUGAGGCGCGAAAGCGUGGGGAGCGAACAGGAUUAGAUACCCUGGUAGUCCACGCCGUAAACGAUGAGUGCUAAGUGUUAGAGGGUUUCCGCCCUUUAGUGCUGCAGCAAAGGCAUUAAGCACUCCGCCUGGGGAGUACGGUCGCAAGACUGAAACUCAAAGGAAUUGACGGGGGCCCGCACAAGCGGUGGAGCAUGUGGUUUAAUUCGAAGCAACGCGAAGAACCUUACCAGGUCUUGACAUCCUCUGACAACCCUAGAGAUAGGGCUUCCCCUUCGGGGGCAGAGUGACAGGUGGUGCAUGGUUGUCGUCAGCUCGUGUCGUGAGAUGUUGGGUUAAGUCCCGCAACGAGCGCAACCCUUGAUCUCAGUUGCCAGCAUUCAGUUGGGCACUCUAAGGUGACUGCCGGUGACAAACCGGAGGAAGGUGGGGAUGACGUCAAAUCAUCAUGCCCCUUAUGACCUGGGCUACACACGUGCUACAAUGGGCAGAACAAAG
rnacentral:rRNA from 1 species